rnacentral:lncRNA from 1 species
GAAGAUUCUAAUGGAUGCUCUGAACAAUUAGAGGGCCUCUUCAGCUGCUUUUUCAGUUUGAAGUUAUGAUUGGAGGAGACCUCGAAAUUCAGCUGUGUGCAGUAUUUACAGAGAGCAAAAGGAAGUAUGAAAUAGUCACAGUCUCAGGGAGAAAAUAGUGUUUCUUUAGCGGAACACUGGUGCCCACUGAACAACUGUUACAAAGGAAAUGUAGCUCCUACAAUGAGGGAAAUUUUUCCAAGCCUACUUUCCAAAGGGAAUGAUGAUGCGUUUAUGGAGAUACAAAUUCUGGAGAAAGACUGGAUUUGGAGGAGAAAGACCAUGAUGGGGAAAAAUCAGAAAUGAGAAACAUCCUGCAAAUAGAGAAAUGGGAACAACUGAAAGAACCAGGCCCCACAGGAGAUGGUAUCAACUGGUCAUGUUCUUCCCAACGUGUAUUCUGGUUUAGGGUAAAAUGGAUCCCAGUGGAGUCUGAGAGAAUGGAUCAGUUCAACCCCUCUAAGAGCUUGACCUCUAAGCAUAGAGGUGGAGCCGACUGCUUUCCCAUCCAUCAGUUCUCUUUCAACCUGAUGUGGAGAUGAUGACAAAAAGAAUGGACUUUAACAAGAAGUAUUUAACAUUCAAAGCCAGCCUCCUGACUUGACACUAUCCUCCUAGAUUUGGAGGCUUUUUGUUUUCAUAUCUUCAGUGACACCUAGGAAAGUGCUUAACAUGUAUGUAAUGCUUAAUAAAGAUUUGCU